GGUAGGACAACUUAUCCCUAGAAGAUCUGCAUGAAUAGCUCCAUCAGUGUACCUAGGGCAGUAGGGUAACUGACGUCCGUUCGCUACCACGCUGUUGUAUCGCCCAUGAUUGGCAAGUACCCGCACACUCAUCAAUUUAUCUGUGGAGCUUCCACAACUACAUCAUGAAGCGAUCCAACUAAGGCCACGGUGACGGACUUGCAUUGACUUCUGAUGACACGGACUGUCGGGGAGGUUCUAUGUGGGAGACUUCUGAUGUACCUGGAUCUCCGGAUGGAAAUUUCAAGUACAUUACAUAUGUCUGUGGGAGAAAAGGUAAUAGAUGUUGCCUAUGAUAUGUCAGUAUCCUGUUUUCUCCUGACUCAGGCUUGAUCUUAUAUACAGGAUCUCCGGAUGGAAAUUUCAAGUACAUUACAUAUGUCUGUGGGAGAAAAGGUAUGUAUCUAUACAGAAGGCUACUGUAACACUUGCU